AAUAAACGUUGGCGGCAUGGAUUAGGCAUGCAAGUCGAGCGAGAAGUGUAGCAAUACACGGAAAGCGGCGGAAGGGAGAGUAAUACGUGGGAAUCUGCCCUUAGGCCUGGGAUAGCAACGGGAAACUGCUGGUAAUACCAGAUAAUGUCUAUGGAUCAAAGGUGUGAUUCCGCCUGAGGAUGAGUCUGCCUCCUAUUAGCUAGUUGGUGGGGUAACGGCCUACCAAGGCGUUGAUGGGUAGCGGGUGUGAGAGCACGACCCGCGUCAUUGGGACUGAGACACUGCCCAGACACCUACGGGUGGCUGCAGUCGAGAAUCUUCGGCAAUGGACGCAAGUCUGACCGAGCGACGCCGCGUGUGGGAUGAAGGCCUUCGGGUUGUAAACCACUGUCAGAGGGGAUGAAAUGCAGGUGGGUUCUCCCAUCUGUUUGACAUAGCCUCAGAGGAAGUACGGGCUAAGUUCGUGCCAGCAGCCGCAGUAACAC
rnacentral:rRNA from 1 species